CGCUUCCUGCACAACGAGAUCGACGGCUCCCACCUGCCCGCGCUCACCAAGGAGGAUUACAUCGACCUGGGAGUGACGCGCGUCGGGCACCGCAUGAACAUCGACCGCGCGCUCAAGGUCUUCCUGGAGAGGUGAGGGCCGCGGAGGGGGCAGCGGGACCAGGAGGAGACGCGGGGCACGGAACGGGACGUGGAGGUGCCAUGGGACAUGGACAUGGACAUGGAACGGGACAUGGAUGUGCAAUGGGAGAUGGACAUGGAACGGGAGAUACGGACAUGGACAUGGAACGGGACAUGGACACGGAACAGGAGAUACAGACAUGGACAUGGAACGGGAUAUGGACAUGGCACGGAACAGGAGACACAGAACAGGAGAUACGGACAUGGACAUGGAAUGGGACAGCGACGUGGAACGGGAUACGGACAUGGAACGGACACGGACAUGGAUGUGCAAUGGGAGAUGGACACGGAACGGAACGGGAGAUACGGACACGGAAUGGGAUACGGACAUGGAACGGGACAUGGAGGUGGAACGGGACAGCAACAUGGAACAGGGUAUGGACAUGGAAUGGGAUAUGGAUGUGCAAUGAGAUAUGGAUGGAACAGGAUACGGACGUGGAAUGGGAUAUGGACGUGGAAUGGGACAUGGACAUGGAAUGAGAUAUGGAUGUGCAAUAACAUAUUGACAUGGAAUGGGAUAGGGAUGUGCAGUGAGAUAUGGACAUGGAACAGGACGUGGAUGUGCAAUCAGAUAUGGACGUGCAAUAGGACAUGGAUGUGGCCAAGAUAUGGACAUGGAAAAGGACAUGGAUGUGCAGCGGAACAUGGACAUGGAAUGGGACCUGGACAUGGACACAGAAUGAGAUACAGACAUGGAAUAGGACAUGGAUGUAGAGCUGGACAUGGAAUGGGACAGGGAUGUGCAAUGGAUCAUGGACAUAGAGCAGGACGGGAUGUGCAAUGACGUGCAAUGGGACAUGGAUGUGCAACGGGACAUGGAUGUGCAAUGGGACAUGGAUGUGCAAUGGGACAUGGAUGUGCAACAGGACAUGGAUGUGCAAUGGGACAUGGAUGUGCAAUGGAACAUGGAUGUACAAUGGGACAUGGAUGUGGCCUCACACACAUGCUUGCACACACGUGUGCACACAUGUCCCCAUGCACACACACACGUGUGCCCUUGCACACGCAGGCGGGGGGGUGAUGUGCACAUACAUGGUAGUGGCCUUGCACACACGUGUGCACACGUGUUCUCCUUGCACACGUGUGUGCACACGUGUUCUCCUUGCACACGUGUGUGCACACGUGUUCUUACACACACACCUUCAUGCAUGUCCCUUUACAUACAUGUGCACACACGUGUCCCCAUGCACAUACAUGUCCCCAUGCACACACGUGACCUCACAUGUCCCCCUUGCACACGCGUGUCCCCGUGCACACCCAGUCACGUGAUCGCGUGACCCGCCCCCCCCCCGCAUGCUCCCCCCCUCCCUCCCCUUCCCCCCCCCACCCCCAUCUCUAAGGGCUCGUGUCGUGGCGCCUCGCCCCGCCCCUCGCCCCGCCCCCCCCCGAGGCAACGACCAAUCACGAAUGUCUUCCAGCGCCCCGCCCCCUCCAACCCCGCCCCCCUACAGGGGGGGAGGGACGGGGCAGGGGGCGUGGCCUGAGGGGGGGAGGGGCGCACCCGAUACACUGUGACCGGAGGG
rnacentral:lncRNA from 1 species